UAGGGAAUCUUCCGCAAUGGGCGAAAGCCUGACGGAGCAACGCCGCGUGAGUGAUGAAGGUCUUCGGAUCGUAAAACUCUGUUAUUAGGGAAGAACAAAUGUGUAAGUAACUAUGCACGUCUUGACGGUACCUAAUCAGAAAGCCACGGCUAACUACGUGCCAGCAGCCGCGGUAAUACGUAGGUGGCAAGCGUUAUCCGGAAUUAUUGGGCGUAAAGCGCGCGUAGGCGGUUUUUUAAGUCUGAUGUGAAAGCCCACGGACAAACCGUGGAGGGUCAUUGGAAACUGAAAAACUUGAGUGCAGAAGAGGAAAGUGGAAUUCCAUGUGUAGCGGUAAAAUGCGCAAAGAUAUAGGGGAACACCAGUGGCGAAGGCGACUUUCUGGUCUGUAACUGACGCUGAUGUGCGAAAGCAUGGGGAUCAAACAGG
rnacentral:rRNA from 1 species